UUGGCAACUGUAACAGGAGACAGACACUAAACCAAAGAUAAGGGGUUGUUUGAGAGAAGGUCAAAUCAGGGGAUACUGAGAGAAAAUAAUGUUCAGAAGAUGAGAAAAAAUAAGACAGGAGAAACCAGCCUGAGCUUGCUGCAGUGUUUUUGCCCUCCUCUCAAGUACAGGUUAGGUGGAUGAUGUGUAGUGAGAGGUUGAUGACUUCACUGGCUGCCCCUAAUUACAAGCAAGAAACUGGAAAAAAACUCAGUCUUGGUUCUAUCUUAUUUUGUUUUUAAUUUCUCUAUGUAUCUACCUAAAUAAAUAU